rnacentral:tRNA from 1 species
UUAAUUGAAACCAAAAAGAGGUAAUUCACUGUUAAUGAAUAAAUUGAGACAUAAUUCUCCAAUUAAA